rnacentral:rRNA from 1 species
UACGUAGGCAGCGAGCGUUGUUCGGAGUUACUGGGCGUAAAGGGUGUGUAGGCGGUUGUCUAAGUUUGGUGUGAAAUCUCCCGGCUUAACUGGGAGGGUGCGCUAUAGACUGUGGGGCUAGAGUGUGGGAGAGGAAAGUGGAAUUCCUGGUGUAGCGGUGAAAUGCGUAGAUAUCAGGAGGAACACCGGUGGUGUAAACGGCUUUCUGGACCAUAACUGACGCUGAGGCACGAAAGCGUGGGUAGCAAACAGG